GACGAACGCUGGCGGCGUGCUUAACACAUGCAAGUCGAACGGUAAGGCCCUUCGGGGUACACGAGUGGCGAACGGGUGAGUAACACGUGGGUUAUCUGCCCUGCACUUCGGGAUAAGCCUGGGAAACUGGGUCUAAUACCGGAUAGGACCACUGCCUGCAUGGGUGGUGGUGGAAUACUUUUGCGGUGUUGAAUGGGCCCGCGGCCUAUCAGCUUGUUGGUGGGGUGAUGGCCUACCAAGGCGACGACGGGUAGCCGGCCUGAGAGGGUGACCGGACAGACUGGGACUGAGAUACGGCCCAGACUCCUACGGGAGGCAGCAGUGGGGAAUAUUGCCCAAUGGGCGCAAGCCUGAUGCAGCGACGCCGCGUGAGGGAUGACGGCCUUCGGGUUGUAAACCUCUUUCAGCACCGACGAAGCGCAAGUGACGGUAGGUGCAGAAGAAGGACCGGCCAACUACGUGCCAGCCGCCGCGGUAA
rnacentral:rRNA from 1 species